CCUUUGAAGGAGGAAGACUUCAUCACCAGCAGAAUGUGCUGCACUGCCUGUGUUAUGUGGAUCAGCACGAUGGAUGGGGAGGAGACCUGAAGAUGCUGCAAUGGCAAAUUUGCUCUACAUGGAGAUGCUGGAUGUCCCUAGACAUAAAGACCCCACAGAGAUGCUAGAGGGGCAUGGCUGGACAGGGGUGGGUGAGGGAGGAGCUGCAGCACCCAGACAAGUUGGCAACCAGUGCAUAGGGAUCUGCUUCCCAUUAUUCUCAUGCUGUAUGAAAGAAAAUGGAAUCAUAGACAAGAAGCUUCUCCUGGGUACCUUCCUGGUCAAAAGUGUCUCCAGGAGGUGUGCUUCUACUCUGAUACUUACCACCAUCAAUUAAUUUUGACUGUUCUUCAAUUUCAUACAAAUGGAAUUAUAUAGUAUUUUCACUUUUGUGUCUGGUUGCUUUGUCAACAUAAUGUCUAUGAGAUUCAUCCAUGUUGUCAUGUUAGUAGUUUGUUUUUUUCAAAAAUUACAUUGUAAUACUCCAUUUUAUGAA